rnacentral:rRNA from 1 species
CAAGCAGCGGAGCGUGUGGUUUAAUUCGAUGCUAACACGAAGAACCUUACCAGGGCUUGACAUGUUAGAAGUAGGGAACCCGAAAAGGGGACGACCAGUAUCCAAUCUGGAGCUAACACAGGUGCUGCAUGGCUGUCGUCAGCUCGUGCCGUGAGGUGUAUGGUUAAGUCCCACAACGAGCGCAACCCUCGUCGCUAGUUAAUUUCCCUAGCGAGACCGCCUCGCAAAACGAGGAGGAAGGCGGGGAUGGCGUCAAGUCAGCAUGGCCUUUAUACCCUGGGCGACACACACGCUACAAUGGGUGGUACAGUAGGUAGCGAAGGAGCGAUCCGGAGCAAAUCCUUAAAACCAUCCUCAGUACGGAUUGCAGGCUGAAACCCGCCUGCAUGAAGCCGGAAUCGCUAGUAAUCGCGGAUCAGCAUGCCGCGGUCGAAUACGUUCCCGGGCCUU